UACGGAGGGUGCGAGCGUUAAUCGGAAUUACUGGGCGUAAAGGGUGCGUAGGCGGUUUAUUAAGUUACUUGUGAAAUUCCUGGGCUUAACCUGGGGUGGUCGAGUGAUACUGAUAGACUAGAGUAUGGGAGAGGGCAUUGGAAUUUCCGGUGUAGCGGUGAAAUGCGUUGAUAUCGUUGGGAACACCGAAAGCGAAGGCAGGCAACUGGGUACUACCUGACACUGCUAGGACGAAAGCGUGGGGAGCGAAUGGG
rnacentral:rRNA from 1 species